AACGCACAUUGCGCCCACUAGUAUUCUGGUGGGCAUGCCUGUUCGAGCGUCAUUAAGUCCACUUAAGCCACCUUGCUUAGUGUUGGGAGCCUACAUCUACGUAGCUCCUCAAAGACAGCGGCGGAGUCGUAUUAACCUCUGAGCUUAGUAAUUAUUUUCUAGCUUGCGAGUGUAGUGCGUCCCUUGCCGUAAAACACCCAUCUUUUUAUGGUUGACCUCGGAUCAGGUAGGAAUACCCGCUGAACUUAA
rnacentral:misc_RNA from 1 species